CCAAUGAGAAGCCGCCUCUCGGGUAUCCUCCAAUGGGCUCCCGUCGGGGACAGCCCCCCCCCGCCCCGCCCUAUAUAAGCAGGCUCCGCCCCUUGGCUCUCGGAGUGUUUGCUGUUCCGCCUCAGGUGUGGGUCUUUGCUGCGGCGUCCACCCCAGCGAGCUCCCUUCGCCGCUGGGAAAACCGGCUGCUUUAUUUUUAAGGUUAGCAGUCAUUCUUGUCCUCAUCUGAGGAAUGGACUCUGGAAGGCGCCGCAUGAUCCCGCGCGGAGUCUAGAGGGUUGCUGCAGUUCCCCUGACGGAAGUGCUGCUGGUCUGGGGGCUCACUGUGGCUCUCCUGAGUGGCGGACCCAACAAUCCCACCAGGACAGGCCAUGAGGACAUGCACUGGCCAGCCCCGCAUCAGCGCGUGGGAUGGCAGCCUUGCUGCCCACGGCAAGAGUUUGCCUCUUGACCUUACAUGGGUUACGUGAACCACACACUGGCUCAUCGUGGAGCAGAGUGGCCAGCGUGCAUGGCCCUGGGAGCCUGGAGGCCAGGAGGAGAGUGGGCACCACGUGAGGAAGAGGGAACACAGCUGCCCCCACCCCAGAUGGUGGCAUUGAGGGACGUCCCCAGUUGAGGCGGCAGCAGCUCCUGCCCACCCCUGCCGCCCACCAAGGCUGCAUUCGAGGAGGAAGCGGCAUGGAGGAGCAGACAGAAGACAAGGAGCACACACAGGCCUCCAGGCCCCUGGGAGCCCCUUAGGGCAGACCUGCUUUCUCAGACCCAACUUCCAGCAAGAUCAGGACCCCAGGGGGUUGCCCCAAAGAGCACCUUUA